CUUUUGCUUGUGGUAUAUCUUUAUAAAUGGCUUGAAUCUGUGACUUAGGGAAUGGGCACUUUACAAUAUCACAGUAAUCAAAAGUGAAUGUAGCCACAUGGGUACAUGAUGAAUUAUACCAGAAAGUGUACCCACUAGCAUCUUUGGUGAUGGCCACCUGCUGGGCUUUAAGGAGGCCAACUAAGGAGAUAAUGUACCAGAGGCACAAGGUUGCAUAGAGUUAGCUUCCUCUGGGGCAGGUGUCUUCUUGCAAUGGGAAGCGUGGAUCCAGUUAGGCCUUCCGGCCAAUUUGACAGAGGUAGGGGAGAUCAGGAGAACUUGAAACGGUCCGUCAAAUCUUGGUUCCAGGGUGUGUUUUCGCACAAAUUUCUUGACCAGAACCCAGUCACCGGGGAGCAGACUGUGGUUGCCUGUGUCAGAAUCAGGAUCU